UACGUAGGGUGCGAGCGUUGUCCGGAAUUACUGGGCGUAAAGAGCUCGUAGGUGGUUUGUCGCGUUGUUCGUGAAAACUCACAGCUCAACUGUGGGCGUGCGGGCGAUACGGGCAGACUGGAGUACUGCAGGGGGAGACUGGAAUUCCUGGUGUAGCGGUGGAAUGCGCAGAUAUCAGGAGGAACACCGGUGGCGAAGGCGGGUCUCUGGGCAGUAACUGACGCUGAGGAGCGAAAGCAUGGGGAGCGAACAGG
rnacentral:rRNA from 1 species